rnacentral:rRNA from 1 species
UGGGGAAUAUUGCACAAUGGGCGCAAGCCUGAUGCAGCCAUGCCGCGUGUAUGAAGAAGGCCUUCGGGUUGUAAAGUACUUUCAGUCGGGAGGAAGGUGUCAAGGUUAAUAACCUUGGCAAUUGACGUUACCGACAGAAGAAGCACCGGCUAACUCCGUGCCAGCAGCCGCGGUAAUACGGAGGGUGCAAGCGUUAAUCGGAAUUACUGGGCGUAAAGCGCACGCAGGCGGUUGAUUGAGUCAGAUGUGAAAUCCCCGGGCUUAACCCGGGAAUUGCAUCUGAUACUGGUCAGCUAGAGGCUUGGAGAGGGGGGUAGAAUUCCAUGUGUAGCGGUGAAAUGCGGAAAGAUGUGGAAGAAUACCGGUGGCGAAGGCGGCCCCCUGGGCAAAGACUGACGCUCAGGUGCGAAAGCGUGGGGAGCAAACAGG